AGAGUUUGAUCCUGGCUCAGAUUGAACGCUUGCGGCACGCUUAACACAUGCAAGUCGAACGGGUAAGAAAGUGAGGUCGAAAGAAGUAGUUUUUUUACUAGUGGCGAACGGGUGAGUAACAUAUGAGAAUCUACCUUAAAGAGGGGGAUAACUGGGAGAAAUUCCGGCUAAUACCGCAUAAACUCUGAGGAGCAAAGCUGGGGAGCGCUGAGAGGUGUCCUGGUGCUUUAAGAUGGGCUCAUAUUGGAUUAGCUAGUUGGUGGGGUAAAGGCCUACCAAGGCGACGAUCCAUAGCUGGUCUGGGAGGAUGAUCAGCCACACUGGCACUGAGAUACGGGCCAGACUCCUACGGGAGGCAGCAGUGGGGAAUAUUGGACAAUGGGGGGAACCCUGAUCCAGCGAUGCCGCGUGUGCGAAGAAGGCCUACGGGUUGUAAAGCACUUUAGGUAUGGACGAGAAGUUUAUUUUUAAUAGAGGUAGAUGGAGACGGUACAUACAGAAUAAGCACCGGCUAGCUCUGUGCCAGCAGCUGCGGUAAUACAGAGGGUGCGAGCGUUAAUCGGACUGAUUGGGCGUAAAACGCGAGUAGGCGGUAGACUAAGUUAAAUGUGAAAUUCCGAAGCUUAACUUCGGAGCUGCGUUUAAAACUGGUGUACUAGAGAUUGGCAGAGGGGAGUAGAAUUUCCAGUGCAGCGGUGAAAUGCGUAGAUAUUGGAAGGAAUACCAGUGGCGAAGGCGACUCUCUGGGCCGAUACUGACGCUGAGGAGCGAGAGCGUGGGGAGCAAACAGGAUUAGAUACCCUGGUAGUCCACGCUGUAAACGAUGAGUACUAGCUGAUACCGAGAGGUAGUGGCGAAGCUAACGCGAUAAGUACUCUGCCUGAGUAUUACGGCCGCAAGGCUAAAACUCAAAGGAAUUGACGGGGGCCCGCACAAGCGGUGGAGCAUGUGGUUUAAUUCGAUGCUACGCGAAGAACCUUACCUGCCCUUGACAUCCAGUGAAGUCCUGGGAGACCGGGAUGUGCCAGAGAUGGAGCAUUGAGACAGGUGCUGCAUGGCUGUCGUCAGCUCGUGUCGUGAGAUGUCGGGUUAAGUCCCAAAACGAGCGCAACCCCUAUACUUAGUUGCCACUUUUCGAAGGGAACUCUAAGUAGACUGCCUGUGAUAAGCAGGAGGAAGGUGGGGAUGAAGUCAAGUCAUCAUGGCCUUUAUGGGCAGGGCUACACACGUGCUACAAUGGUGCAUACAGAGGGAAGCGAAACUGCGAAGUGGAGCGGAUCCCAAAAAGUGCAUCUCAAUAUGGAUUGCAGUCUGAAACUCGACUGCAUGGAACUGAAAUCGCUAGUAAUCGCAGAUCAGCAGGCUGCGGUGAAUACGUUCUCGGGCCUUGUACACACCGCCCGUCAAACCAUGGGAGUAGAUUGUACCAGAAGGGGAUAGACUAACCGAGAGGGGGUCGUUCACGACGGUAUGGUUUAUGACUGGGGUUAAGUCGAAACAAGGUA
rnacentral:rRNA from 1 species